GAGGGAUUAAUUUCGCAAGGGAGUUGAUUGGUGCAGCGAUAGAAAAGUGAAUGGUAUUGCGGAGAGUACAUUACAGUCAUCCAAGUCGCGGCAACGACUGUGGGUUUCGCAUCGUCUAUCACUGCUCCGUUUCAUCCUGUUGCGAUCCGCUGGGUCGGACCCCUUUCAAAGCAUGGUCAGCUGAAUCCUCUUCGCGCAAGAGUGGGGCAUCUCGGUGACUGAUCUUCCAUCUUGGGUGCCAAGUCGGUGCAUUCCAAGGGCAAUUCCAUGAAUUCCCGGUGCCUUCUGAAAUGGUCCGCAGUUCAAGCCUCGGUCCCACCUCUGAAUCUGUCUUAGGCAAAAGCCUAUAGCCAAGUCUAUAAUUGUCGCAACAAAUCACAAAAUCAUAAAGACAUGGACCCAGUUGUAGAUAUCGAGUACCCAAGACAUAUGUGCGAGU
rnacentral:lncRNA from 1 species